GAGUUUGAUCAUGGCUCAGAUUGAACGCUGGCGGCAUGCCUUACACAUGCAAGUCGAACGGUAACAGGUCUUCGGAUGCUGACGAGUGGCGAACGGGUGAGUAAUACAUCGGAACGUGCCCGAUCGUGGGGGGAUAACGAAGCGAAAGCUUUGCUAAUACCGCAUACGAUCUACGGAUGAAAGCAGGGGACCGCAAGGCCUUGCGCGAACGGAGCGGCCGAUGGCAGAUUAGGUAGUUGGUGGGAUAAAAGCUUACCAAGCCGACGAUCUGUAGCUGGUCUGAGAGGACGACCAGCCACACUGGGACUGAGGCAUGGCCCAGACUCCUACGGGAGGCAGCAGUGGGGAAUUUUGGACAAUGGGCGAAAGCCUGAUCCAGCCAUGCCGCGUGCGGGAUGAAGGCCUUCGGUUGUAACUGCUUUGUACGGUACGAAAGACUCUGGUUAAUACCUGGGUCCGAUGACGGUACCGUAACGAAUAAGCACCGGCUAACUACGUGCCAGCAGCCGCGGUAAACC
rnacentral:rRNA from 1 species